rnacentral:rRNA from 1 species
AGCCAGACUCCUACGGGAGGCAGCAGUGAGGAAUAUUGGUCAAUGGGCGGAAGCCUGAACCAGCCAAGUCGCGUGAGGGAAUAAGGCCCUACGGGUCGUAAACCUCUUUUGCCGGGGAGCAAGGGCGGGGACGUGUCCCGGCCCGGAGAGUACCCGGAGAAAAAGCAUCGGCUAACUCCGUGCCAGCAGCCGCGGUAAUACGGAGGAUGCGAGCGUUAUCCGGAUUUAUUGGGUUUAAAGGGUGCGUAGGGGGACUGUAGAGUCGGGGGAAAAAGCGGGGGCCACACCCGCGGCGAGCCGUUGAAACUGGCUGUCUUGAGAUGUCGAGAGGUAUGCGGAAUGCGCAGUGUAGCGGUGAAAUGCUUAGAUAUUGCGCAGAACUCCGAUUGCGAAGGCAGCAUACCGGCUCCAUACUGACGCUGAGGCACGAAAGCGUGGGGAUCGAACAGGAUUAGAUACCCCUGUA